rnacentral:sRNA from 1 species
GUGGGAUGUAGGCGCUAGCAACGCCUCAGGGCGGAGGAAUGACAGGCGACUUCGCUAAUACUACCGGCUGAUUUUUCACCCGGAUGCAGAGUCUACAGCCUGACCCAGCUGCCCGCUAUCGCAAUGUGUUGGAGGCCCUCUGGAGGAUUAUAAGAACGGAGGGCCUAUGGAGGCCCAUGAGGGGGCUGAACGUCACAGCAACAGGCGCAGGGCCUGCCCACGCCCUUUAUUUUGCCUGCUACGAAAAGUUAAAAAAGACAUUGAGUGAUGUAAUCCACCCUGGGGGCAAUAGCCAUAUUGCCAAUGGUGCGGCCGGGUGUGUGGCAACAUUACUUCAUGAUGCAGCCAUGAACCCUGCGGAAGUGGUCAAGCAGAGGAUGCAGAUGUACAACUCACCAUACCACCGGGUGACAGACUGUGUACGGGCAGUGUGGCAAAAUGAAGGGGCCGGGGCCUUUUACCGCAGCUACACCACCCAGCUGACCAUGAACGUUCCUUUCCAAGCCAUUCACUUCAUGACCUAUGAAUUCCUGCAGGAGCACUUUAACCCCCAGAGAUGGUACAACCCAAGCUCCCACGUCCUCUCUGGAGCUUGCGCAGGAGCUGUAGCUGCCGCAGCCACAACCCCACUGGACGUUUGCAAAACACUGCUCAACACCCAGGAGUCCUUGGCUUUGAACUCACACAUUACAGGACAUAUCACAGGCAUGGCUAGUGCCUUCAGGACGGUAUAUCAAGUAGGUG